rnacentral:lncRNA from 1 species
CAGCCCUAGGUCAUCUGUCUGACGUGGCAUCAGGAGGAAAUUAUGGUAAUGGAAGAAAGGGGCGUUUGGCUUCAAGUUCGCGGGCGGCUUCUCCGUCGUGGAAAGCUUUAAGGAAACACCUUUGGGUUCUGGGCUUUGUAUGCUACUUGUGUCUUGGCACAGCCAGAGACACCCUCCACAGUUUUUCCUCAAAGCCUUCCCCUCCCGUGUGCUGUGUCUUUUGGGAUUUCUGGAAACAUAUUCCCACCCAGCUUCCCGUUCCUUCAGCCUAGGCUUGGCCUCAGACAUACAUCCUCUUCCUUCAGAUACUGAAAAUAUUAAUACUAAUAUUAACAUUGUAAUUAAUAUUAAUAUUGUAAUCAUUAUUCUUAGCAAGAUAUUGCAGGCGCCACAAUUCCUUUAUUUCAGUAAAAUAUUGCAGGUUCAGUUUGAAAUAAUAUAAGGUUGAAUAACAUGUAAAUCUCCUUGUUUGAGGUUUCUUAGGGAUCCUGCAACAAGAUCUUGUUGAAAGUGCCUCUCUGAUUUGUUUUAGUGAAAGCUUAUACCCUGUUGAAAGGCCUGUGGACUUUGCCCUUUCUCUGGCAACUGUUGAUGGGAUUUAGGUCAUGGUAGAUCCCAAUGGAAACUGCAUCUCUAGUUGGGACUUCUGCCCUUUUGGUUCAGGAGCCUCGGAUACCAGUCUAGAAUCUGGGCAAAUCCCAAAAGCAUUCUCUCUCUCUCUCUCUCUCUCUCUCUCUCUCUCACACACACACACACACACACACAAUUUUUUUUUCCCUCAAUUAACUCUUUUGGAGGUGCAAGUCAGUCACAGAAGAGAUCUUUUAUUAUAAGCCUCAUGUAGGUGUAUGAAGUAUGUUCCCCCAGACGAAUUUAAGGUUGGGGGGCUUCUCUCACAUUUUGUAAUAGUUUAAUGAAUGGAAUAACUAUCAAGCCACUGGUUGUAAAACUCUUAUGGGCAGAUGCUGUGGGAGUAUAAAUCCAGAGCAAAGGGAACAAAGUGAUUCAGUGCCUUAGCAGAAGAUCUGGUCCAUAAAUAAUAGAUAUUAAGUGUAUAUUGAAUUAAUGAGUGAUAAAUGAAUCUGUCCACAUCUAUUCUUAAAACUGUAUUUCUUAAAUUCCACAUCCCUAACCCUCACUUUAGUAAUAGCAGUAAGGAGACCUAAGCUAUG